AAUGGUUAUGCUCUGUCAUAACAUUGUUUAUUAGAUAACUUCAAAAUUUUUGAGGCAAUGGCUUAUGACUCUCAUGCUUCACAGUUUCAGGUGGAAGACAAUAACUAUUAGCGUUGCAACCAGAGUUGCUUAGUGCUAAGCAACUCUUUACAAUGAUUUACAAGCAUUGAAAAGGGAUCCGCAAAAAAAGUGUGGCAUUCCUACCCCAGGAUAACUACUUUUUAGGCUGGAUUCUAAAGCUCAAUAUAACUACUAU